AUUGAACGCUGGCGGCAUGCUUUACACAUGCAAGUCGGACGGCAGCACAGAGAAGCUUGCGUCUUGGGUGGCGAGUGUCGAACGGUUGAUUAAUAUAUCGGAACGUACCGAGUAAUGGGGGAUAACUAAUCGAAAGAUUAGCUAAUACAGCAUAUUCUCUGAGGAGGAAAGCAGGGGACCUUCGGGCCUUGCGUUAUUCGAAAGGCCGUGAUCUGCUUAGCUAGUUGGUGGGGUAAAGGCAUACCAAAGCGACGAUGAGUAGCGGGUCUGAGAGGAUCAUCCGCCACCCUGUGACUGAGACACGGCCGCGACACCUACAGGGAGCAGCAGUGGGGACUCUUGGACAAUGGGGGAGAGCGUAAUCCAGCCAUGCCGCGUGUCUGAAGAAGCCCUUAUGGUUCGAAAGGAAUUUUGUCAGGGAAGUAAAGGCUGUUGCUAAUACCGAAAGAUGAUGACGGUACCUGAAGAAUAAGCACCGGCUAACUACGUG
rnacentral:rRNA from 1 species